rnacentral:tRNA from 1 species
GCUGUGAUGGCCGAGUGGUUAAGGCGUUACACUCGAAAUCCAAUGGAAUAUUCCCGCGUAGGUUCAAAUCCUACUCACAGAG